rnacentral:snoRNA from 1 species
UGUCGAGGAUGAUAAAAGAAAAGGCUUGUUUCUCAGAAAAACAUUUGCAGUAGUUGCCUAAGAGCUUUCGUCAUGCCGGGCUUGAGAGCUAAUGCUGCCGAACUCUUCCUUGGAUGUUUGAGACA